rnacentral:rRNA from 1 species
AUGAACGCUAGCGGCAGGCCUAAUACAUGCAAGUCGGACGGGAUUGGAGAGCUUGCUUUCCAUGAGAGUGGCGCACGGGUGCGUAACACGUAUGUAACCUACCCAUAUCAGGGGGAUAGCCUCUCGAAAGAGAGAUUAAGCCCGCAUAACAUCACAUUAUAGCAUUAUGAAGUGAUCAAAUAUUUAUAGGAUAUGGAUGGGCAUGCGGAACAUUAGCUAGUUGGUAAGGUAACGGCUUACCAAGGCUACGAUGUUUAGGGG